AACGUAGGUACCGAGCGUUAUCCGGAUUUACUGGGCGUAAAGCGCGUUCAGGCGGUUUGGCAAGUCGGGCAUGAAAUCUCUCGGCUCAACCGGGAGAGGUUGUCCGAUACUUCCAGACUUGAGGGCAGUAGAGGGUGGUGGAAUCCGGGUGUAGUGGUGAAAUGCGUAGAUAUCCGGAGGAACACCAAUAGCGAAGGCAGCUCGCUGGGACGAUACUGACGCUGAGACGCGAAAGCGUGGGGAGCAACAGG
rnacentral:rRNA from 1 species